rnacentral:lncRNA from 1 species
ACAAGUGAACAGAUGACACAUUAAAGUGGCUGCAGAAGCUUGAAAAGUUAGAUAGAGCACUGGGACAGUCAAAACUGUGGGAUAAUACUUCUAUGGUGUCCAGCAUGUCUAGUCAGGUUGACAGAGUGAAAGAUGGUCUGAUGGUACAAUGAUGUACAAAUGAUACUCUUUAACAAGUUUAACAUGUCAAAGUGUAAAAUGUUCUGUGGAUUCAUAUGAUGAGAAUGCCAAUGUUGAUCUGUAUGACUUAAUUAAA